rnacentral:rRNA from 1 species
CCUACGGGAGGCAGCAGUGGGGAAUAUUGGACAAUGGGCGCAAGCCUGAUCCAGCAAUGCCGCGUGUGUGAAGAAGGUCUUCGGAUUGUAAAGCACUUUCGACGGGGACGAUGAUGACGGUACCCGUAGAAGAAGCCCCGGCUAACUUCGUGCCAGCAGCCGCGGUAAU